rnacentral:rRNA from 1 species
GUACACGCUGUGACUAGCAUAUCAAUAAGCGGAGGAAAAGGAAACUAACAAGGAUUCCCCUAGUAGCGGCGAGUGAAGCGGGAAGAGCUCAAAUUUGAAAUCUUAAAGGGUUUCCCUUUACGAAUUGUAGUUUAAAGAAGUGUUUUCUGUUGAGGUUUUGGUAAAAGUUCUUUGGAAUAGGACAUCAUAGAGGGUGAGAAUCCCGUAUUUGACCUUUACUUUCAACUUUGUGAUACACUUUCAAAGAGUCGGAUUGUUUGGGAAUGCAGUCCAAAAUGGGUGGCUAAAUUUCAUCUAAAGCUAAAUAUUGGCGAGAGACCGAUAGCGAACAAGUACCGUGAGGGAAAGAUGAAAAGAACUUUGAAAAGAGAGUUAAACAGUACGUGAAAUUGUCAAAAGGGAAGCGUUUGACACCAGUGUUGUUUUUCUGAAAAUCAAUUAAAGAACUGUUUAUGCUAAGCUGUUUAGACUUUAUCAGCUAAUCUGUUUAGUUUUGAGCUUUUCUUUAAUGCACCUUUCAGUUAACAAGUCAACAUCAAUUUCUUUUGCUGUAAAAAAGCUUGAGGAAGGUGGCUUGAGAUUCGUCUUAAGUGUUUAUAGCCUCUUGCCUAUGCAGUCGGAGAGAUUGAGGUCUGCAGCGUAGAUCCUUCGGGGCUAAAUGCAUUUGUGCUAAGUUAUAGCAUUUUAUAGACAACUUGUUGACUAUGAUUUGUCUUGUAGCUUACUCGCUUAUGUUAUUUUACCUACGCUUAGGAUGUUGAUAUGCAUGACUGAUAU